AGUGUAGGUGCGUUGAAAGAGAUCAUGGAGAGUUGUAGAAUCAGAAGGAUCGACCUCACGGUAAUUAACGAAGUUCUCGCGAGCGUAUUUGGCAUAAUAACCUCUGGAGUCCUUCGGUAAACGCCUUACAAGUCUCAGAACCUCUGCGUAAGCUCUCACCGCCUUCUCCAUCUCUUUUCUUUUCCUUCCAACUUUCCAAUUGCCGAUUACUUCUGUCACUAAACUAAACUAGUCAAACCCAUUAAUUAUCUUUUUACUUCUUUACCAAAAAAAAAACCAAAGUUACUUUACCAAAAAUUUGUUUUAUUAAUCUAUUCAUACAAAAAAUACUAACUAACAGACUUAGUUGAUUAAUUUGCACAGAUUAAUAAGAAAAUAUAAAUAAAUAAAAAAUAUUUUUAUUAUAUUGUUUCUUAUGUAUUGGUUUAUUCAUCUAUAUCAUUGCCUUGAAAUCUUGAUCACACGUGAAAAUAGGAUUUGAAUCUACCUCAUGCGUUAGGCGCAAAGGCUCCCGCACUAGGCGCAAUUGUGAGCACGAAUGGGCGCAGACGUAGCCUGUCUUGCGCUAGGCGCAGGAGUGCUGACAGCUUGGCUGUUUUGCUUUCUUGGAGGACACUUCGACUUGGAUUUUGUUUUAUUUUAAGACAAAUUUGUUCCUAAAACUGCUUGACAUUUUAUUUUUUUUAUAAAUAGGAAGUGUUUUAUUCAUAGAAAAAUAAGGAGCAACAAUGUAGGAAAUUCAAUUAGGAUUUGCUGCCGACACAAGGCUUUGACCGAAUUGUA
rnacentral:lncRNA from 1 species